GAUGAACGCUAGCUACAGGCUUAACACAUGCAAGUCGAGGGGUCUCAACGAGGUUCGCCUUUGAGAGACGACCGGCGCACGGGUGAGUAACGCGUAUCCAACCUGCCCUUCAUAUUGGGAUAGCCUUCCGAAAGGAAGAUUAAUACCGAAUAACAUGAGAUAGUUGCCUGAUUUUCUCAUGAAAGCUCCGGCGAUGAAGGAUGGGGAUGCGUUCCAUUAGGUAGUAGGCGGGGUAACGGCCCACCUAGCCAACGAUGGAUAGGGGUUCUGAGAGGAAGGUCCCCCCACACUGGAACUGAGACACGGUCCAGACUCCUACGGGAGGCAGCAGUGAGGAAUAUUGGUCAAUGGGCGCAAGCCUGAACCAGCCAAGUAGCGUGAAGGAUGAAGGUUCUAUGGAUUGUAAACUUCUUUUAUACGGGAAUAAAACACCUUACGUGUGGGAGCUUGUAUGUACCGUAUGAAUAAGCAUCGGCUAACUCCGUGCCAGCAGCCGCGGU
rnacentral:rRNA from 1 species